UUACGGUCAUAUCACGAUGAAACACUAGUUCCCGUGCGAUCACCGAAGUUAAGCAACGUCGAGCCUGUUCAGUACUUAGAUGUGUGACAGCUUGGGAAUUUCAGGUGCUGUAAG